AAAUAAUAUGAGCAACUUUUAUGUUGAAUUGGGUAAUAAUCAAAAAUUAAGCCAGAUUUUAUGACAUUAUUAUUGACAAUAGAAUUUAAAAAACUGAUAGUGGAUUUUUCAAGAAAUUAACAAGUCAUUGAAGUUAUAGGCACAAACUGAAAAUCAAGGUAAGUAUUCUAGAUUAAAUUUUAUUUCUAAAAUUAAGAAAUCAUUAACAGAACUUUCUGCAUUAACCCUAAAAGUGUUACUCAAAGGAAAAAAUGGAUAAUCUUGUGCUUCCAGAUUGUUGGAAUGAAAAACAAGUGGUUAUGUU
rnacentral:lncRNA from 1 species